GAAUAUUGAUCACCUAUACUAAACUUGUAACAAACUUUUGAAAGACAAAUCCAACAAUUAUGUCCGUCUAAGAUAAUGUUAGGAGAGAAGUUGGGAGAGCAGUAUUGAAGUCUGAAAUCCACAAUUUGACUUAAAUCCAUCACCUGUAAU